ensembl:rRNA 5S_rRNA 5S ribosomal RNA
GUCUAUGGCCAUGCCACCUUAAACACGCCCAAUCCCGUCUGAUCUCGGAAGCUAAGCAGGGUCGGGCCUGGUUAGUACUUGGAUGAGAGACCACUUAGGAAGACCGAGUGCCAUAGGCG